rnacentral:rRNA from 1 species
CCCUUAGAUGUUCUGGGCUGCACGCGUGCUACAAUGGCGUUUCCAGCAAGUCUGCGAACCCGAGAGGGCCAGCGGAUCUUCGAAUUGGCGUCGUGAUCGGGACAGUCGAUUGCAAUUAUUUGACUCAAACGAGGAAUUCCUUGUAAUCGCGAUUCAUCAUAUCGCGCUGAAUACGUCCCUGCCCUUUGUACACACCGCCCGUCGCUCCUACCGAUUGAGCGAUCCGGUAAAUGUUUUGGAUUGGUGCCGGGGCGGCUAGCUGCCGGUCGCUACGAAAUUUUGUGAACCAUAUCGCUUAGAGGAAGGAAAAGUCGUAACA